rnacentral:rRNA from 1 species
AGAGUUUGAUUAUGGCUCAGAACGAACGCUGGCGGCAGGCCUAACACAUGCAAGUCGAGCGCGCCCUUCGGGGUGAGCGGCGGACGGGUUAGUAACGCGUGGGAACGUACCCUUUGGUAGGGAAUAGCCACUGGAAACGGUGAGUAAUACCCUAUGAGCCCUUCGGGGGAAAGAUUUAUCGCCAAAAGGAUCGGCCCGCGUUAGAUUAGGUAGUUGGUGGGGUAAUGGCCUACCAAGCCUACGAUCUAUAGCUGGUUUUAGAGGAUGAUCAGCAACACUGGGACUGAGACACGGCCCUGACUCCUACGGGAGGCAGCAGUGGGGAAUCUUGGACAAUGGGGGCAACCCUGAAUCCAGCCAUGCCGCGUGAGUGAAGAAGGCCUUAGGGUCGUAAAGCUCUUUCGCCUGUGAAGAUAAUGACGGUAGCAGGUAAAGAAACCCCGGCUAACUCCGUGCCAGCAGCCGC